UGCUUGCACUGAUCCGAUCGAGUGGCGGACGGGUGAGUAACGCGUGGGUAACCUGCCUCAUACAGGGGAAUAACAGUUGGAAACGGCUGCUAAAACCGCAUAAGCGCACAGCAUCGCAUGAUGCAGUGUGAAAAACUCCGGUGGUAUAAGAUGGACCCGCGUUGGAUUAGCUAGUUGGUGAGGUAACGGCCCACCAAGGCGACGAUGCAUAGCCGGCCUGAGAGGGCGGACGGCCACAUUGGGACUGAGACACGGCCCAAACUCC
rnacentral:rRNA from 1 species